CCUACGGGAGGCAGCAGUGAGGAAUAUUGGGCAAUGGAGGCAACUCUGACCCAGCAACGCCGCGUGAAUGAUGAAGGUCUUCGGAUUGUAAAGUUCUUUUCUACGGGAAGAAGAAAGUGACGGUACCUUAGGAAUAAGCCUCGGCUAACUACGUGCCAGCACCCACGGUAAUACGUAGGAGGCAAGCGUUAUCCGGAAUGACUGGGCGUCAAGGGUGCGUAGGUGGUUUGACAAGUUAGUAGCGAAACUCCGGAGCGCAACUUCGGAACUACUGCUGAAACUGUUGGACUUGAGUGCAGGAGGGGCAAUCGGAAUGCGUAGUGUAGCGGUGGAAUGCGUAGAUAUUAGGAGGAACACCAGUGGCGAAGGCGGAUUGCUAGACUGUAACUGACACUGAGGCACGAAAGCGUGGGGAGCAAACAGGAUUAGAUACCCCAGUAGUC
rnacentral:rRNA from 1 species